UUUACAUCCAAAUCAAAUAACAGGAAAGAAAACAAUUAGUCAAGUUCAUACUCUAGGUUCUGUUUAAUGUGUCUGUUUUCAAGCCUGUUCAUGCUAUUUUGCCUGAGCAAAGCUUUUGUUUGCGUUCUUAAAGUUUACUUUGCUUUGAGACCUUAGCGCAUGAACAGGUUUGGCAAACUUGUCUCUCUGAGGCAAAACUUGAAAAGCGAGACAUUCGAACACUUGUAAAAUGUAAAGAUUUUUGCUUUUGCUAAAGUCCAUUCCCGGUCUAAUCUAGGUUCACUCUCUUUUACCCAACAGUUCCCUGGGCAGAAAUGUGAUCCUAGCCCACUCACAAUCUGACUCUUCCGUUUCCCAGGAUGCAUAUUAUCUAAUGUUUGAGCUUCAAUGCUGAUUUACCAUUACCAUUACCAAAAUCAACAAGGAACAUAGGCUAACAGAAGGACAAGAGAGUCAUUCCACUUUUCAAACAAUUUGAGAACACACAGCUCUCUGCCAGCUGUCUGCUCUAGCAAGUGGUGGAGAGAUGGCAGUUCUGUUCCUGGCAUGAAGAGAAGGUACAUUAGGGUUGGAAAGGACUUAGAAGCCUCCUCCCCCAUUAUUCUGGAGUCCCUGCCCC
rnacentral:lncRNA from 1 species